rnacentral:rRNA from 1 species
CGUAGGGAGCAAGCGUUGUCCGGAAUCAUUGGGCGUAAAGCGCGCGUAGGUGGCCUCAUAAGUCCGCUGUGAAAGUCCAAGGCUCAACCUUGGAAAGCCGGUGGAUACUGUGAGGCUAGAGUACGGAAGAGGCGAGUGGAAUUCCUGGUGUAGCGGUGGAAUGCGCAGAUAUCAGGAGGAACACCAAUAGCGAAGGCAGCUCGCUGGGACGUUACUGACACUGAGGCGCGAAAGCGUGGGAGCGAACAGGAUU